rnacentral:rRNA from 1 species
UACAGAGGUCCCAAGCGUUGUUCGGAUUCACUGGGCGUAAAGGGUGCGUAGGUGGCCGGGAAAGUUCGAUGUGAAAGCUCGGAGCUCAACUCCGAAAUGGCAUUGAAUACUAUUCGGCUUGAGGGUCGGAGGGGAGACUGGAAUUCUCGGUGUAGCAGUGAAAUGCGUAGAUAUCGAGAGGAACACCAGUGGCGAAGGCGAGGCUCUGGACGGCUCCUGACACUGAGGCACGAAAGCUAGGGGAGCAAACGGG